ensembl:lncRNA OIP5-AS1 OIP5 antisense RNA 1
GGCUUGUGGGAACGGCCCACCGCAGGGUUGGCCACCUUGAGAAGCUGCGAAGAUGGCGGAGUAAGGCGUGCCGCUGCAAACUGGCCUCUGGGCCGGGGGCGAGCAGCCCCCGGGAGGCCGAGUGCAUCUGUUGGACCGUGCGAGGAGAAGAAAAAAAAUAUCGGCCAGAGGAGAGGAACUAACCGAACAUUCUUCCUCCCUACCUUAUAGAGGGGAGUGGUCAUCUACACUAAAGCAAAGUGUUAGGCGCGUCCGUGCGAAGAGACCACCAAACAGGCUUUGUGUUCCUUAUCACAGGAAGAAAAUUUUCCUUGACCUUUAGGUGCUUUUAUAUUCAUCUCAAAAACAAAAUUCUGAACUCAGGACUUGGCAAACCACCGCUGAAACUUCACUUCUACACAGAGGCUUUCUUUCCCAGAAACCCAGACCAGAUGGAGUUUCACUCUGUCGCCCAGGCUGGAGUGCAGUGGCACGAUCUCGGCUGACUGCAGCCUCUACCUGCUGGGUUCAAGCAAUUCUUCUGCCUCAGGUUCCUGAGUAGCUGGGAUUACAGGUGCGCACCACCAUGCCUGGCUAAUUUUUGUAUUUUUAGUAGAGACGAGGUUUCACCACGUUGGCGAGGCUGGUCUUGAACUCCUGACCUCAAGUGAUCCACUGCCUCGGCCUCCGAAAAUCUGGAAUUAUAGAUGUGAGCCACUGCGCCAGGCCUGUAAUUUUAUGUAUCUUUAUGUGAUUAUUUGAAUGUCCCUCUCUGACUAGAUUAUAAAUUCUAAGGAUAGUGUGUCUAUUUUUGCUUACCUUUUAUCCCCAGCACCUAGUCUAACACUUUACAAAUAUAUAUUAAAUUAAUAUUUUGAUAAGUUACUCAAAGUGCUACAUAAAACAAAAUUAUAGAAAAUAGUACUUUGGUAACUGUUUCGUUUUAUCAUUGCUUUCAUUAUUUCUCUGUUAACCUCAGUUUACAACUGAAAAAGACAAAUUGUAUAUUAUUCAGGCAAUUUAUUAAACAUUACCUAUAGAAUAUUAUGAUCUGUAUUUUACAGAAGUUAAAAAGUGAUGUAUUAGUAUUCAUAACAACUGCUCCAUGCAGGAGUAAUAGAAGUCAACAUUAAGCCCAACUCUAUUUUCAGACCAACCAUGCAACUUUAGAUCAGAGGACACAUGGGACUCUGCAUCUUAAUUCCUAAAUUUACAGUCAAAGACAUUUUCAGAGAUAAGUAUUAUGAAUUCAAUAAGAAUCUAAAGUAAGUUCUUAAGGCAAAUAGCUAUAAAAGAGAAGAAUCCUUAGUCUCUCAUCUUCUAAAAACAGCUUCACAAAUAAUUUGGAAAAUCAGCCUAAAGGUAAAUAGAAACUGCAUUUCCCCUCCAUUCUUGAAGCCAAUCUUUUUCAAGAAAUGACUAAGCAGCACCUGUUGUUGAAGACAGCAAUAAAGCCUGAACCUGACACUCAAGCUUUGGUACAGGAUCAGUUUUCUGGCUUGGACUGGUCAGGAGUCACUUCACUCAGAAUCUUCAUUAGUGAUUUUAAGCGAUUGUGCGUUAGCACUAUCUUCUCUUUCAGCUAGGAAGAGAAAUAUAUAGAUAUCAGGGCAUCUUUUUUUAUUUUUACUUAUUUUAAGAGACAGGGUCUCACUCUGUUGCCUGAGCUGGAGUACAGUGGCACAUUCAUAGUUCACUGCAGCCUCAAGCUCCUGCUCUCAAGUGAUCCUCCCACUUCAGCCUCCUGAUUAGCUAGGACUACAGUCAUGUGUUUUAAAUUUUCUUUGUAGAGAUGGGGGUCUUGCUUUGUUGCCCAGGCUGGUGUUGAACUCCUGGCAGUCAGUGAUCCUCCCAAAGUGCUGGAAUUACAGACAUGAGCCACCACACCAAGAUGGAUAUCUGGGCAUUUUAAGCUUAACUGUCAAUUUGCUGGUCACAAACACCAUUUCAAAUUUAAGCUAGUUUAUAUCUAGUAAUUGGGAGCUGGCAAUGUCUAAAUGCAUUUGAGGAAUAAAUUUCUUCUAAUUCUGGAAGAACUUUAUACAACAACGUAGCGCACAGUAAGAUCUUCAGAUGUGGCCAGGCGCAGUGGCUCACGCCUCUAACCCCAGCACUUUGGGAGGCUAAGUUGGGCAGAUCACGAGGUCAGGAGAUCAAGACCAUCCUGGCUAACACGGUGAAACCCCAUCUCUACUAAAAAUACAAAAACAAAAUUAGCUGGGCACGGUGGCGGGCGCCUGUAGUCCCAGCUACUCAGGAGGCUGAGGCAAGAGAAUGAGUGAACCCAGGAGGCAGAGCUUGCAGUGAGCCAAGAUCGUGCCACUGCAUUCCAGCCUGGGUGACAGAGCGAGACUCCGUCUCAAAAAAAAAAAAAAAAAAGAUCCUCAGAUGUAAAGUUUCGUGUGAAAAAAGACAAAACAUUGCUGAGCAGCACUGCUACUGUGAAGAUGAAUAAAGUCUGGUCACAGUG